UGCAUAUCAAAAGCGGAGGAAAAGAAACCAACAGGGAUUGCUCUAGUAACGGCGAGUGAAGCGGCAACAGCUCAAAUUUGAAAUCUGGCUCUUUCAGAGUCCGAGUUGUAAUUUGCAGAGGGCGCUUUGGCUUUGGCAGCGGUCCAAGUUCCUUGGAACAGGACGUCACAGAGGGUGAGAAUCCCGUACGUGGUCGCUAGCUAUUGCCGUGUAAAGCCCCUUCGACGAGUCGAGUUGUUUGGGAAUGCAGCUCUAAAUGGGAGGUAAAUUUCUUCUAAAGCUAAAUAUUGGCCAGAGACCGAUAGCGCACAAGUAGAGUGAUCGAAAGAUGAAAAGCACUUUGGAAAGAGAGUCAAACAGCACGUGAAAUUGUUGAAAGGGAAGCGCUUGCAGCCAGACUUGCUUGCAGUUGCUCAUCCGGGCUUUUGCCCGGUGCACUCUUCUGCAGGCAGGCCAGCAUCAGUUUGGGCGGUGGGAUAAAGGUCUCUGACACGUUCCUUCCUUCGGGUUGGCCAUAUAGGGGAGACGUCAUACCACCAGCCUGGACUGAGGUCCGCGCAUCUGCUAGGAUGCUGGCGUAAUGGCUGUAAGCGGCCCGUCUUGAACCACGGACCA
rnacentral:rRNA from 1 species